rnacentral:rRNA from 1 species
UACGUAGGGGGCAAGCGUUGUCCGGAUUUAUUGGGCGUAAAGAGCUCGUAGGCGGCUUGUCGCGUCGGAUGUGAAAGCCCGGGGCUUAACUCCGGGUCUGCAUUCGAUACGGGCAGGCUGGAGUGCGGUAGGGGAGAUCGGAAUUCCUGGUGUAGCGGUGAAAUGCGCAGAUAUCAGGAGGAACACCGGUGGCGAAGGCGGAUCUCUGGGCCGUUACUGACGCUGAGGAGCGAAAGCGUGGGGAGCGAACAGG